GAAAUGCGAUAAGUAGUGUGAAUUGCAGAAUUCAGUGAAUCAUCGAAUCUUUGAACGCACAUUGCGCCCUAUGGUAUUCCGUAGGGCAUGCCUGUUCGAGCGUCAUUCAAACCUUCAAGCUUUGCUUGGUGUUGGGCGUCUGUCCUGCCUCACGGCGUGGACUCGCCUCAAAUGGAUUGGCGGCCGGCACGUUGGCUUCGAGCGCAGCAGAAACGCGAACUCGGUGCACGACGGGUCAGCUCCCAGAAGCGAAACCCAUGAAUUUGACCUCGGAUCAGGUAGGGAUACCCGCUGAACUUAAGC
rnacentral:misc_RNA from 1 species